ensembl:lncRNA
UCAAGAACAGUACAUCAUAGAGUUGAGGAAGAGUUAUGCUAUGCAAUGGGAAGAAAAUCAUACUACUUGAUACCCAUUGAUACCCAACAGUAACUUAGAAUUUACUAAUACCAAUUCAUAUCCAGCAUUUUGUUCACAAAAUCUAAGACUGCAUUGAACUAUGACAGGUACAAGGUAUUCACAGAUCAGCAUACAGAUAGUUCAACCUGAAAAUGUAUUCCAGCUGAAUAUUGUAUUGUGUUCAUAUUUUGUUUGGAAUAUAUUUGAAAUGAAACAGUAUGCUGUAAAGCAGUAGUAUUCAAACUUUUUCAGCGGGGACCCCAUUUAUUUCGCAAUAAUUUCUGGGGAGUUUUUCUACAAGAAAAACUCAUCUUUAAUUCAUUACAUUUUAGUUUAUCAAAAUGAAAGUUUUACUCAAUAAUUUUUUUUCUAAUUAUCUUUCUCAAAAACAUUUAUAUAUAGUCCCAUACAAUAAUCUGUACUCUUAAUCUUUUGUUCCAAAAAUGUUUAUAAAACACUUUUAUUUAAGGGUCUCCCCAGUGGCGCAGAGGUCUAAGGCACUGCUUGAGGCGUCACUACAGACCCGAGUUCCAUCCUAGUGUAACAGUUUAGCUUCCGUCCCUCUCCUCGCCCCUACCUGGGCUUGAACCAGGGACCCUCUGCACACAUCGACAACAACCAUCCUCGAAGCAUCGCUCCACAAAAGCCGUGGCCCUUGCAGAGCAAGGGGAACAAUUACUUCAACGUCUCAGAGCGAGUGACGUCACCGAUUGAAACGCUAUUAGCGCACACCCCGCUAACUAGCUAGCCAAUUCACCUUGGUUACACUAGUCUGUAUCACAACAGGUCAUGAUUGGGAGUCCCAUAGAGCAGCGCACCACUGGCCCAGCGUCGUCCGGGUUAGGUUAUUGUUUGGCCCAGGGGGGGCUUUUCUUGGCUCAUCGCAUUCUAGCGACUACUUGUAGCCUGCAGGCUGACCUCUGUCGUCAGUUGAGCAGUGUUUCCUGGGACACACUGGUGUGGCUGGCUUCCGGGUUAAGUGGGCAGGUGUUAAGAAGCGCGAUUUGGU